AUAGUUUGAUGCUGGCUCAGAACGAACGCUGGCGGCGUGGCUAAGACAUGCAAGUCGAACGGACCAUUAAUUUAUUAGUGGUUAGUGGCGAAAGGGUUAGUAACGGGUAGGUAACGUACCCUGUGCUUUGGGAUAGCGUCAGUAACUUCGGUUACUUUCCGAAAGGGGCGGUAAUACCAAAUAAUAUCAUUUGUUGAUAGGCAUUUGAUCAAAGAUUUAUCGGCGCGGGAGCGGCCUGCCUCCUAUCAGCUUGUUGGUGAGGUAAUGGCUCACCAAGGCAUCGACGGGUAGCGGGACUGAGAGGUUGGCCCGCAACAUCGGGACUGAGACACUGCCCGGACCUCCACGGAGGGCUGCAGUAACGAAUAUUGUGCAAUGGGCGAAAGCCUGACACAGCGACGCCGCGUGUAGGAGGAAGUCCUUCGGGAUGUAAACUACUGUCAGGGGGAAGAAAGUAUACUUCGGUAUAUUGAUCUAACCCAGAGGAAGUCACGGCUAACUUCGUGCCAGCAGCCGCGGUAAGACGAAGGUGGCAAGCGUUGUUCGGUAUUACUGGGCUUAAAGCGUGUGUAGGCGGAAAAUUAAGCGUUGUGUGAAAUCCCCCGGCUUAACCGGGGAACUGCAUAACGAACUGGUUUUCUUGAGGCAAGUAGGGGUGCAUGGAACUCUUGGUGGAGCGGUGGAAUGCGUAGAUAUCAAGAGGAACGCCAGCGGAGAAAUCGGUGCACUGGGCUUGUCCUG
rnacentral:rRNA from 1 species